GUGAACGCGCAUUGAACCUAAAGCGGAAAACCUGGUUCAACUAAUUUGAUCUAAAGUGAGCGUCGUGGUACAAUUUAACUGUGAUUGCGAGUUGCGGCUCUGUCGAGCCAGGUUUUCCCAAGAAAGCCUGGGUAUGUUCAACGAGGUUCGUGGUAUACCCCCCAGGUCUUACUGAAGGCAUUUAUUUAAUGGUGAAAAUAUUAUUAUCAGUGGCGUAAAUAUCGACUGCCCGGGGGCCCAGACGCUGUCCCCCCCUCUCAACAACUCACAACUUGGGUGCACCAUAAAUACCCAAAUUAAAAAUUUAGGCGCACCAGUGCACCCAAGGAAAAAGUUAGUCUGGAGCCCUGGAGUAUCACUUUAUGUUCAAUAAACAGACAGAAAGUAAACUUGAAUGAGUCUCAUUGAGUGACACACAUGCUAUGCUUGGGUUGUAAUACAGCGGGAUCCCCCCCACCAUUGCGGGUUUAAGGUCUUAAAUUUCAUUCAAGGUGGUAUUAAAAAGGUCUUAAAAAGUCUUAAAUUUGACUUGCUGAAACCUGCAGAUACCCUGGA
ensembl:lncRNA